rnacentral:rRNA from 1 species
CCUACGGGUGGCAGCAGUGGGGAAUAUUGGACAAUGGGCGAAAGCCUGAUCCAGCAAUGCCGCGUGUGUGAAGAAGGCCUUCGGGUUGUAAAGCACUUUCAGUAGGGAAGAAAAGCUAUAGGCUAAUAAUCUAUAGCCCUGACGUUACCUACAGAAGAAGCACUGGCUAACUCUGUGCCAGCAGCCGCGGUAAUACAGAGAGUGCGAGCGUUAAUCGGAAUCACUGGGCGUAAAGCGCGCGUAGGUGGAUUCUUAAGUCGAAUGUGAAAGCCCCGGGCUCAACCUGGGAACUGCAUUCGAUACUGGGUUUCUAGAGUAUGAUAGAGGGAAGUGGAAUUUCCGGUGUAGCGGUGAAAUGCGUAGAUAUCGGAAGGAACACCAGUGGCGAAGGCGACUUCCUGGAUCAAUACUGACACUGAGGUGCGAAAGCGUGGGUAGCA